rnacentral:lncRNA from 1 species
UUUGGGUUUUGUGUGUCAAUAGUGCUCUAAUGUAGUACACAAAGCAAUGUAACUUAGUGGUGAGUCUUCAGUCACUUAGAUGUCACAGACUUUAAUCUUUGACAUUUUUGUUUUGUCACUUUCUUUUUUAAAUUUAUUUUAUUUUAUUUUUCAAGACAAGGUUAAUAGCCCCAGCUGCCCUGGACUCAAUUUGUAGAUCAGGCUAGCCUUAAACUCACAGAGAUCCAUCUGCCCCUGCCUCCUGAGUAUUGGAUUAAGUGUUUGUGCCACCAUGCCUGGCUCAUUUCUGAAGACAGAUCCACACUGUUUUGAAGUUAAACUUUAAAUAAAGCAGUCAGGAAAGCUUGAUGACUUAGAAGUAAGCAUUCUAGGAUUAUUGAGUUGUGUAUGGCCUGAGAGCCAUUGCUUCUUGGGUACUCUAGACAUGGGAUGACAGCAGAGACUAUGACUCACAGGAGCUCUCUGCAGUUUCUCUAAGUGCUUAAGAGAAAAUAGAAUAAAUCUUCUGUUUCUACUAAAGGAUUGGUCACUGUCUGUUACAGUCAAACAGGAGGGUAUCAAGACUCUUGGUGUGGUGAUGUUGCACUUGGGGUUGAGGCAGGUGGAUCUUUGAGUUCAAGGAUCUCUGGUUUAUAUGAGGAGUUUGAGGGCAGCCAGAUGUACACAGUGCACUCACACCUUGCUCCCACAUCCACACUUCACCUCCAACAUCCCCCAAAUCUUGACUCGGCACACAUAAAGCCUACUUAGUUUUUCUUCUCUACUUAAUAUUUUAGCAGUUACUUUAUUUCUACCUUUUCCCACCUGCCGGUCAGGGUGCUAGAUAACCUGGCAUUACCAGGCUUAGGACUUGGCAAUGGGGAACAGGCAACAUCCCAGAGUUGUGUUGGUUGUCUUCAGUAGUGUGUCCUCAGUGUCCUGAAGCAGGAGGAGGCUCUGGGAGUCCUACCUGUGGAGGCACACUGCGAACGAAGGUCAUCUUGGAUGCUGUGUGCUAGGUGUGUCUUCCAGGAACCAAUUCGAAACUGCGAGUCCUGAUUUCUGUGUUGAAAUGCCUUCAUACAGUAGAAAGACAUACUUUUUCUUUGUACUGUGGAGCCCAGCAACCAUUCAUAACAUUAUCUGCUCUAAAGUAGGAAAGCUUUGUUCUGUGAAUUAGACAUGAGGUUUGUAAAGCAGACUUAUUUAGUAGAGUUAUUAAUCCAGAGUUCUUGACAAUGUGGCUUUAACUUUCAUACUAUGGAGAAAACACUUUAGGAAAUCGUUUCAGCUUUUUAUUUUUUAAAAAUAACUGGAUAAUAAAAUGUAUCCAGUACUUUGAAUUUUAAUUUUUUUACAUCUCACUGCCCUGCAUUUCUUUAUUUAGAGUUUAAAAGACUAUGAAUCUAUCUUUAAAAAAUGAACUGGGUAUGGUACUGAGGCAGAGGCAGGUGGCUCUCUGAAUUCCAGGCUGACUUUGUAUAUAUAGUGAGUUCCAAGAUAGUCAGGGCAAUGUAAAGGGACCCUGUCUCAAAAACCAAAAGUCAAAACAAAGAAAAAGAAAAAGACAAGAAAACUGAGGUUUUUUUUUUUUUAAAGGAGGAUGGAGAAGAUAGAAUUUACAGCCAAUUGAAAAAUUGUAAUUGCAAUGUAGAGAGACCCUGUCUCAAAAACCAAACGUC